rnacentral:rRNA from 1 species
UACGUAGGUGGCUAGCGUUGUCCGGAUUUACUGGGCGUAAAGCGCGCGCAGGCGGACGUUCAAGUCGAGUGUGAAAGCCCCCGGCUUAACCGGGGAGGGUCGUUGGGGACGGCGGGGCUUGAGGGCGGGAGAGGGUGGUGGAAUUCCCGGUGUAGUGGUGAAAUGCGUAGAGAUCGGGAGGAACACCCGUGGCGAAGGCGGCCACCUGGGCCGACCCUGACGCUGAUGCGCGAAAGCCAGGGGAGCAAACGGG